UCAAAAGUCAAACGGCAAAGCAGCACCCCUAGUGCUCCUGAACUGGGACAGCAGCCGGAUGUCAACAUUAGUGAAUGGAAGGACAAACCCACCCACGAAAUUCUUCAAAAACUGAAUGAUUGCAGUUGUCUGGCUAGCCAAGCCAUCCUGCUGGGUAUACUGCUCAAAAGAGAAGGCCCCAACUUCAUCACAAAGGAAGGUACCGUUUCUGAUCACAUUGAGAGAGUCUAUAGAAGAGCUGGCAGCCAAAAACUUUGGUCGGUUGUACGCCGUGCAGCAAGUCUUUUAAGUAAAGUAGUGGACAGCCUGGCCCCAUCCAUUACUAAUGUUUUAGUGCAGGGCAAACAGGUAACUCUGGGUGCCUUUGGGCAUGAAGAAGAAGUUAUCUCUAAUCCUUUGUCUCCAAGAGUGAUUCAAAACAUCAUCUAUUAUAAGUGUAACACCCAUGAUGAGAGGGAAGCGGUCAUUCAGCAAGAACUGGUCAUCCAUAUUGGCUGGAUCAUCUCCAAUAACCCUGAGUUAUUCAGUGGCAUGCUGAAAAUACGAAUCGGGUUUGCAAAGGCCGUGUGCUCUCACAAGAGAAGUUCACCUUGGAGGAGGGGGCCCUUUCAGCCAUGGUUGAGUCCCCUGUAGGCCCAGUGGAAUGAUCCCAAAGCAUCUCAUAUGGAAACUCCAUCUCAGAAUCCCAUUGGGAUGAUCUCUUGCCAUCUAACAUGAUGUCACCUCUCCGUCACCUGGUAGACACUCACGACACCUGUGGCAAACACCCUAAAAUCCCUUCAGACCUACGCCCACAGCACUCUUCCACCACAGUAAUAAAGGCUUGGGAAUGCUGUUUCUGCCCUAGGGAUAUCAGACAACUUCAGAUAACUGUCAUCCUGUCUGUGGGGCUUGUGAUAGUGCCCCUCUGAAGAGUAAAAAGAUACUUUUGUGUCUUCUAUGUUUUUAUUAGACUUCAUCCUCAAUAAAUUAUACUAAGGCCUCAACCCCUUUAAGUGAAUGGGCCCCUUGCAUAUUUGUUUAUUAGCAGCAGCAAAUACAUACUCAGUAUGUUUCUUUACAAAUUUUACCUUGAAUUAGUCCCUGGAAGGUUUUUAGUUUGCUUAAAAUUGGUGAGCAAAUUAUUCAUUUAUAAAGUCUUUGAAUGUCAAAUUUCCUAUAAAUUGUUGAACAUGUAACUGUUUCUGAGUUAGUCCUUUGUGUAUUGUAGUGGUUGUAGCACAAUUUUAAAAGAAAGGGAGGGGAUUUAUAGAAUGUAUUCUUUUUUUACUGCCUUAUGGUACAAUAAGCACAUCAGACUCAUUCUUACUUGGCUUUUUGCUAUUGUUUCUCUCUUUUAAAUGUUAAUUAUGAUUAAAGAGAUUGAUUGAUUGGU
rnacentral:lncRNA from 10 species